rnacentral:rRNA from 1 species
GAUGAACGCUAGCUACAGGCUUAACACAUGCAAGUCGAGGGGAAACGACAUUGAAGCUUGCUUCGAUGGUCGUCGACCGGCGCACGGGUGAGUAACGCGUAUCCAACCUGCCUCUGACCAAGGGAUAACCCGUCGAAAGUCGGCCUAAUACCUUAUGCAGUCGUCGGAAGUCAUCUGAUGACGACGAAAGAUUUCAUCGGUGAGAGAUGGGGAUGCGUCUGAUUAGCUUGUUGGCGGGGUAACGGCCCACCAAGGCAACGAUCAGUAGGGGUUCUGAGAGGAAGGUCCCCCACAUUGGAACUGAGACACGGUCCAAACUCCUACGGGAGGCAGCAGUGAGGAAUAUUGGUCAAUGGGCGAGAGCCUGAACCAGCCAAGUAGCGUGCAGGAGGACGGCCCUAGGGGUUGUAAACUGCUUUUAUGCGGGGAUAAAGUGAGGGACGUGUCCUUCAUUGCAGGUACCGCAUGAAUAAGGACCGGCUAAUUCCGUG